UACGAAGGACCCAAGCGUUAUCCGGAUUUAUUGGGUUUAAAGGGUGCGUAGGCGGGUUAUUAAGUCAGUGGUGAAAGCUCUCGGCUCAACCGGGAAAUUGCCAUUGAUACUGAUGAUCUUGAGUAUGAUUGAGGUGGGCGGAAUGUGUCAUGUAGCGGUGAAAUGCUUAGAUAUGACACAGAACACCGAUUGCGAAGGCAGCUCACUAAGCCAUAACUGACGCUGAUGCACGAAAGCGUGGGGAGCAAACAGG
rnacentral:rRNA from 1 species